CCGAAAGGCGUAGUCGAUGGGAAACAGGUUAAUAUUCCUGUACUUGGUGUUACUGCGAAGGGGGGACGGAGAAGGCUAUGUUGGCCGGGCGACGGUUGUCCCGGUUUAAGCGUGUAGGCUGGUUUUCCAGGCAAAUCCGGAAAAUCAAGGCUGAGGCGUGAUGACGAGGCACUACGGUGCUGAAGCAACAAAUGCCCUGCUUCCAGGAAAAGCCUCUAAGCAUCAGGUAACAUUAAAUCGUACCCCAAACCGACACAGGUGGUCAGGUAGAGAAUACCAAGGCGCUUGAGAGAACUCGGGUGAAGGAACUAGGCAAAAUGGUGCCGUAACUUCGGGAGAAGGCACGCUGAUAUGUAGGUGAAGUCCCUCGCGGAUGGAGCUGAAAUCAGUCGAAGAUACCAGCUGGCUGCAACUGUUUAUUAAAAACACAGCACUGUGCAAACACGAAAGUGGACGUAUACGGUGUGACGCCUGCCCGGUGCCGGAAGGUUAAUUGAUGGGGUUAGCGGUAACGCGAAGCUCUUGAUCGAAGCCCCGGUAAACGGCGGCCGUAACUAUAACGGUCCUAAGGUAGCGAAAUUCCUUGUCGGGUAAGUUCCGACCUGCACGAAUGGCGUAAUGAUGGCCAGGCUGUCUCCACCCGAGACUCAGUGAAAUUGAACUCGCUGUGAAGAUGCAGUGUACCCGCGGCAAGACGGAAAGACCCCGUGAACCUUUACUAUAGCUUGACACUGAACAUUGAGCCUUGAUGUGUAGGAUAGGUGGGAGGCUUUGAAGUGUGGACGCCAGUCUGCAUGGAGCCGACCUUGAAAUACCACCCUUUAAUGUUUGAUGUUCUAACGUUGACCCGUGAUCCGGGUUACGGACAGUGUCUGGUGGGUAGUUUGACUGGGGCGGUCUCCUCCUAAAGAGUAACGGAGGAGCACGAAGGUUGGCUAAUCCUGGUCGGACAUCAGGAGGUUAGUGCAAUGGCAUAAGCCAGCUUGACUGCGAGCGUGACGGCGCGAGCAGGUGCGAAAGCAGGUCAUAGUGAUCCGGUGGUUCUGAAUGGAAGGGCCAUCGCUCAACGGAUAAAAGGUACUCCGGGGAUAACAGGCUGAUACCGCCCAAGAGUUCAUAUCGACGGCGGUGUUUGGCACCUCGAUGUCGGCUCAUCACAUCCUGGGGCUGAAGUAGGUCCCAAGGGUAUGGCUGUUCGCCAUUUAAAGUGGUACGCGAGCUGGGUUUAGAACGUCGUGAGACAGUUCGGUCCCUAUCUGCCGUGGGCGCUGGAGAACUGAGGGGGGCUGCUCCUAGUACGAGAGGACCGGAGUGGACGCAUCACUGGUGUUCGGGUUGUCAUGCCAAUGGCACUGCCCGGUAGCUAAAUGCGGAAGAGAUAAGUGCUGAAAGCAUCUAAGCACGAAACUUGCCCCGAGAUGAGUUCUCCCUGACUCCUUGAGAGUCCUGAAGGAACGUUGA
rnacentral:rRNA from 1 species